GUAUCAUUGGAUUUCCAAAAUAUUUCAGUUCGAUUGGAUGCGACAAAGAAUUCAAAAAAGACGGACAGACAAACUAAAUUUGUGAGGAGCAGUGCCCGGAUCUGAAAAUAGCAAAUGCGUCAAGAGACGGAGAAAUACGAUGAGUCUCGCCGAUAUGAUGGUGGGGCGAUAAACAAGAACGAUGACUGGCAAAGUUAUCUCUGACUCAGAAGUAAUAAGACAAAUAUUCAACAAAUCAAAAUGGCACAUGUUUAUUUGUUGUAUAAAAGUAUCGAAUCAUUUACAGGAAUAAAUAUUGAAACGAGGACAAAAUGUGCAUUUAAGUGAAAUUUAUUUACUGUGAAAAUAAAAAGUUUGGAUGGUCGAGUUUAAAGCGACAAAUUAAUUGCUUUGCAGAUGUGGUUAAAAUGAUUAAUGUGAGCCGUCUCGAGCGGGAUUAAAAAAUGAGUUUACCAAAUAUUCUUUUACGACAAAAAGUUAACUCAGUUUAUUUUAAAAUAACAAAUAUACAUUAAAACUAUAUAUGGUUUUGAUUUUGAAGUCACUCAGCAAGUUAUGAAGAGAGCUGUAUUUAGUUUCUUUAAAGGAUCGAAAACGAAAGGAAUUUAUUCGCCAGAAAACUACGCAAACCGACAUAACUCAGCGGGUAAGCAAGCUGAAGUGGCAAAGUGUAGACUACAUAUAUUACAGAACUAUAGGAAAAAAAAAAUUCUAGCGUGGACACCUCUAACCGAUAAAAGAAGUAAAGGCCUAGUAGUUAGGAGAGACGAAGAUAUCAGUAAACCGUAAUCCGUAAUCCGUAGAAAAGAGUUGAAGGUCGAACUCAGUGGCUUGAUUAAGAGGAGCCCUAUUCCCAGUAGUUGACUAUUUAUAUCUGAUGAUAAUGGAACUGUUGUUUGAAAUUGUUAAUCUUUUUAUUUGAAUAUUAUUAUUUAAUGUGAUUCGAGCUUAAGUCUGUUAUAUUUAUAAUACUAACUUAAUAUUUUUCAUAAAGACAAUGUGGUACAUGGAUAUUUUAAUUGAUUAAUAUGUAAGUAGAGUUUUGUUUUUAUAUUACAGUUAUUAUAACGAAGUGAACGUAUGGUCAGACCUAUGAAAUAUUCAGAUACUCAGUAAACAGACAAGUUUUCAACCCUUGUUUUUUGCGUGUUUACGUAGGAGUAUUGAAAAACAUGUUGAAUAUUAAAUUGUUGGGUUUUA